rnacentral:rRNA from 1 species
UACGAAGGGGGCUAGCGUUGCUCGGAUUGACUGGGCGUAAAGGGCGCGUAGGCGGUUCGUACAGUCAGACGUGAAAUUCCUGGGCUCAACCGUGGGGGCUGCGUUUGAUACGUGCGGACUUGAGUGCGGAAGAGGGUCGUGGAAUUCCCAGUGUAGAGGUGAAAUUCGUAGAUAUUGGGAAGAACACCAGUGGCGAAGGCGGCUCACUGGCCCGUAACUGACGCUGAGGUGCGAAAGCGUGGGGAGCAAACAGG